GGCGGGAGGAUUGCUCGAGCCCAUGAGUUCGAGGCUGCAGUGAGCUUCUGCACUUCAGCCUGGGCAACAGAGCGAGACCCUGUCUCAAGAAAACAAAGAGAACUAGAAGAACAGACUCGAAAAGCUCUAGAACUGGAUCAAGAACGAAAACGAGCAAAAGAAGAAGCAGAACGGCUUGAAAAGGAGCGUCGAGCUGCUGAAGAGGCGAAGUCUGCCAUAGCAAAACAAGCUGCCGACCAGAUGAAGAAUCAGGAGCAGCUAGCAGCAGAACUUGCUGAAUUCACUGCCAAGAUUGCACUUCUAGAGGAAGCCAAGAAGAAAAAGGAAGAGGAAGCUACUGAGUGGCAACACAAAGCUUUUGCAGCCCAGGAAGACUUGGAAAAGACCAAAGAAGAGUUAAAAACUGUGAUGUCUGCCCCCCCUCCACCUCCACCACCACCAGUCAUUCCUCCAACAGAAAAUGAACAUGAUGAACACGAUGAGAAUAAUGCUGAAGCUAGUGCUGAAUUAUCAAAUGAAGGGGUAAUGAACCAUAGAAGCGAGGAAGAACGUGUAACCGAAACACAGAAAAAUGAGCGUGUUAAGAAGCAACUUCAGGCAUUAAGUUCAGAAUUAGCCCAAGCCAGAGAUGAAACCAAGAAAACACAAAAUGAUGUUCUUCAUGCUGAGAAUGUUAAAGCAGGCCGUGAUAAGUACAAGACUCUGCGACAGAUUCGACAAGGCAAUACAAAGCAGCGUAUCGAUGAGUUUGAAGCAAUGUGAGAGCUGUUAUUUUGCAUAUAUGUUCUUCAUA
rnacentral:sRNA from 1 species